AUUAAAUCCUAGUUACAUAAAAUUCAAAGUUGAAGACUCAUCCCGUGGAUACUACUAAGGGUAAUGAAAGAGUUAACAAUGAGGGAGUGGUGGAGAGAAAAGUGGAGACGGCAGAUUACCGGAAGCCGGCGGGAGAGGAGGAGGAGCCACGCCCGGAGAAGGUGGCGGUGACUCAUCUCGUUCACGACGACAACAACGCCGGAGCGGCCGCUAAAGUGGCUGAGAAACUGCCAGCUGUCAGUGAAGCUGUCGGUGACACUAUUAGCAGGAUGCAGUAAUUUAAAUUACUUAUUGAAUACUAUGUUAAUUAUAUGAAUGUCUUGUCUUUUGGUGUUUUACUUUUAAUGCUUGAUUUUUAUAUAUCUGGGACUUGGAAUA